CCUACGGGAGGCAGCAGUGAGGAAUAUUGUUCAAUGGACGAGAGUCUGAACCAGCCAAGUAGCGUGAAGGAUGACUGCCCUAUGGGUUGUAAACUUCUUUUAUAUGGGAAUAAAAUGUUCCACGUGUGGGAUUUUGUAUGUACCAUAUGAAUAAGGAUCGGCUAACUCCGUGCCAGCAGCCGCGGUAAUACGGAGGAUCCGAGCGUUAUCCGGAUUUAUUGGGUUUAAAGGGAGCGUAGGUGGAUUGUUAAGUCAGUUGUGAAAGUUUGCGGCUCAACCGUAAAAUUGCAGUUGAAACUGGCAGUCUUGAGUACAGUAGAGGUGGGCGGAAUGCGUGGUGUAGCGGUGAAAUGCUUAGAUAUCACGAAGAACUCCGAUUGCGAAGGCAGUUCACUGGACUGCAACUGACACUGAGGCUCGAAAGUGUGGGUAUCAAACAGGAUUAGAUACCCUAGUAGUC
rnacentral:rRNA from 1 species